AAACUUCACAAUGGAGGCAACUCCGAUGAGGGAAUUCCAAGUGCUAGCACAUUAGUGUUAGCUUUUCUUAAGCAUAGAUAACUUAAGGAAUAAGGGCUGGGUAAGACGGGUGCCAGCCGCCGCGGUAAUACCCGCAGCCCAAGUGGUGGUCGAUUUUAUUGAGUCUAAAACGUUCGUAGCCGGUUCAUUAAAUCCUUGGGUAAAUCGGAUGGCUUAACUAUCCGAAUUCCGGGGAGACUGGUGAACUUGGGACCGGGAGAGGCAAGAGGUACUUUUGGGGUAGGGGUAAAAUCCUGUAAUCCUAAAAGGACCACCGGUGGCGAAGGCGUCUUGCUAGAACGGAUCCGACGGUGAGGGACGAAGCCCUGGGUCGCAAACGGGAUUAGAUACCCCGGUAGUCCAGGGUGUAAACGCUGCAGACUUGGUGUUGGGGACCCUUCGGGGGUGUUCAGUGCCGGAGAGAAGUUGUUAAGUCUGCUACUUGGGGAGUACGUCCGCAAGGAUGAAACUUAAAGGAAUU
rnacentral:rRNA from 1 species